GGAGGGGUCGCAUAGUGGCCUAGUGCGGCGGUUUGCUAAACCGCUAUACGGUUUAACAACUGUAUCGAGAGUUCAAAUCUCUCCCCCUCCG
rnacentral:tRNA from 1 species